rnacentral:snRNA from 1 species
GAGCCACCCAGGCACUUUUGGCUAAGAUCAAGUGUAGUAUCUGUUCUUAUCAGUUUAAUAUCUGAUACGUCCUCUAUCCAAAUAAUCUUUCUUAAAGAAAUGAAGGCAUGUGUGUUUACAGGAUGCUUUAGAGAAAAUCGUUAUUCUAUUUUCU